rnacentral:rRNA from 1 species
UUUGAAAUCUGGCUCUCGGGCCCGAGUUGUAAUUUGUAGAGGAUGCUUUUGGUGAGGUGCCUUCCGAGUUCCCUGGAACGGGACGCCAUAGAGGGUGAGAGCCCCGUCUGGUUGGACACCGAUCCUCUGUAAAGCUCCUUCGACGAGUCGAGUAGUUUGGGAAUGCUGCUCUAAAUGGGAGGUAUAUGUCUUCUAAAGCUAAAUACCGGCCAGAGACCGAUAGCGCACAAGUAGAGUGAUCGAAAGAUGAAAAGAACUUUGAAAAGAGAGUUAAACAGUACGUGAAAUUGUUGAAAGGGAAGCGCUUGUGACCAGACUUGGGCUUGGUUGAUCAUCCGGGGUUCUCCCCGGUGCACUCUUCCGGCUCAGGCCAGCAUCAGUUCGCCCUGGGGGAUAAAGGCUUCGGGAAUGUGGCUCUCUCCGGGGAGUGUUAU